rnacentral:hammerhead_ribozyme from 1 species
GUCCGGCUGACGGAUCCCAAAUAGGACGAAAUGCGCAUCCUGCAU